rnacentral:rRNA from 1 species
AUUGAACGCUGGCGGCAGGCUUAACACAUGCAAGUCGAGCGGAGAGAGGUAGCUUGCUACUGAUCUUAGCGGCGGACGGGUGAGUAAUGCUUAGGAAUCUGCCUAUUAGUGGGGGACAACAUUUCGAAAGGAAUGCUAAUACCGCAUACGUCCUACGGGAGAAAGCAGGGGAUCUUCGGACCUUGCGCUAAUAGAUGAGCCUAAGUCGGAUUAGCUAGUUGGUGGGGUAAAGGCCUACCAAGGCGACGAUCUGUAGCGGGUCUGAGAGGAUGAUCCGCCACACUGGGACUGAGACACGGCCCAGACUCCUACGGGAGGUAGCAGUGGGGAAUAUUGGACAAUGGGCGCAAGCCUGAUCCAGCCAUGCCGCGUGUGUGAAGAAGGCCUUAUGGUUGUAAAGCACUUUAAGCGAGGAGGAGGCUACUUUAGAUAAUACCUAGAGAUAGUGGACGUUACUCGCAGAAUAAGCACCGGCUAACUCUGUGCCAGCCGCCGCAGUAAAAC